UGCAGUCGAGCGGAACGAUCCCAGCUUGCUGGGAGGCGUCGAGCGGCGGACGGGUGAGUAAUGCAUAGGAAUCUGCCCGGUAGUGGGGGAUAACUUGAGGAAACUCAAGCUAAUACCGCAUACGCCCUACGGGGGAAAGCAGGGGCUCUUCGGACCUUGCGCUAUCGGAUGAGCUUAUGUCGGAUUAGCUAGUUGGUGAGGUAACGGCUUACCAAGGCGACGAUCCGUAGCUGGUCUGAGAGGAUGAUCAGCCACAUCGGGACUGAGACACGGCCCGAACUCCUACGGGAGGCAGCAGUGGGGAAUAUUGGACAAUGGGCGAAAGCCUGAUCCAGCCAUGCCGCGUGUGUGAAGAAGGCCCUCGGGUUGUAAAGCACUUUCAGUGAGGAAGAAGGCUUGUCGGUUAAUACCCGGCAGGAAGGACAUCACUCACAGAAGAAGCCCCGGCUAACUCCGUGCCAGCAGCCGCGGUAAUACGGAGGGGGCAAGCGUUAAUCGGAAUUACUGGGCGUAAAGCGUGCGUAGGCGGCUUGGUAAGCCGGUUGUGAAAGCCCCGGGCUCAACCUGGGAAUGGCAUCCGGAACUGUCAGGCUAGAGUGCAGGAGAGGAAGGUAGAAUUCCCGGUGUAGCGGUGAAAUGCGUAGAGAUCGGGAGGAAUACCAGUGGCGAAGGCGGCCUUCUGGACUGACACUGACGCUGAGGUACGAAAGCGUGGGUAGCAAACAGGAUUAGAUACCCUGGUAGUCCACGCCGUAAACGAUGUCGACUAGCCGUUGGGGUCCUUGAGACCUUUGUGGCGCAGUUAACGCACUAAGUCGACCGCCUGGGGAGUACGGCCGCAAGGUUAAAACUCAAAUGAAUUGACGGGGGCCCGCACAAGCGGUGGAGCAUGUGGUUUAAUUCGAUGCACGCG
rnacentral:rRNA from 1 species